rnacentral:rRNA from 1 species
GCAGUCGAACGGGAACGGAAGGAAACCUAGUGAAUUCUGUUUUAGUGGCGGACCGUUGAGUAACGCGUGGGGAACCUGCCGUAUACAGGGGGAUAACACAUAGAAAUAGGUGCUAAUACCGCAUAAGCGCACGCCUUCGCAUGAAGGAGUGUGAGAAGGCGAAAGCCGGUAUACGAUGGCCCCGCGUCUGAUUAGCCAGUUGGCAGGGCAGCGGCCUACCAGAGCGACGAUCAGUAGCCGGCCUGAGAGGGCGGACGGCCACAUUGGGACUGAGACACGGCCCAGACUCCUGCGGGAGGCAGCAGUGGGGAAUAUUGCACAAUGGGGGGAACCCUGAUGCAGCGACGCCGCGUGAGUGAAGAAGUAUUUCGGUAUGUAAAGCUCUAUCAGCAGGGAAGAAAAUGACGGUACCUGAAUAAGAAGCCCCGGCUAACUACGUGCCAGCAGCCGCGGUAAUACGUAGGGGGCAAGCGUUAUCCGGAUUUACUGGGUGUAAAGGGAGCGUAGACGGUUAUGCAAGUCUGGAGUGAAAGCCCGGGGCUCAACCCCGGGACUGCUUUGGAAACUGUAAAACUGGAGUGCAGGAGAGGCAGGCGGAAUUCCUAGUGUAGCGGUGAAAUGCGUAGAUAUUAGGAGGAACACCAGUGGCGAAGGCGGCCUGCUGGACUGUAACUGACGUUGAGGCUCGAAGGCGUGGGGAGCAAACAGGAUUAGAUACCCUGGUAGUCCACGCGGUAAACGAUGAUCACUAGGUGUCGGAGGGUAGAGACCCUUCGGUGCCGCCGCANACGCAGUAAGUGAUCCACCUGGGGAGUACGUUCGCAAGAANGAAACUCAAAGGAAUUGACGGGGACCCGCACAAGCGGUGGAGCAUG